GUCUACGGCCAUGCCACCCUGAACAAACCCGAUCCUGUCUGAUCUCGGAAGCUAAGCAGGGUUGGGCCUGGUUAGCACUUGGAUGGGAGACCACCUAGGAAGACCAGGUGUUGUAGGCA
rnacentral:rRNA from 1 species